rnacentral:rRNA from 1 species
AUUGAACGCUGGCGGCAGGCCUAACACAUGCAAGUCGAACGAGCGGCGGACGGGUGAGUAAUGUCUGGGAAACUGCCUGAUGGAGGGGGAUAACUACUGGAAACGGUAGCUAAUACCGCAUACCAUCAGAUGUGCCCAGAUGGGAUGAGCUUGUAGGUGAGGUAACGGCUCACCUCGGCGACGAUCCCUAGCUGGUCUGAGAGGAUGAUCAGCGAAAAGGGAACUGAGACACGGUCAAGACUCCUACGGGAGGGAGCAGUGGGGAAUAAUGCAGAAUGGGCGAAAGCCUGAUGCAGGCAUGCAGCGUGUGUGAAGAAGGGCUUCGGGCUGUAAAGGACGUUGAGCGGGGAGACGUUAUCCGCAGAAGAAGCACCGGCUAAAUCCGAGCCAGCAGCCGCGGUAAAUC